rnacentral:rRNA from 1 species
UAGAGGAAGUAAAAGUCGUAACAAGGUUUCCGUAGGUGAACCUGCGGAAGGAUCAUUACUGUAAGACCAUAGGGUUUGAGACUACGUCCUUCAUAGGCGUGUGCUCGACUCUUAAUUCUUUCAUCCACAUACACCUAUGUGCACCAUGGGAUCGUAAAAAAAACAUGGUCCCCUUUUACAUACAAAUACCAAGUUAUAUGCAUGUUUGUGUUAUAUACACUCUACGGAGUAAUAUACAACUUUCAACAACGGAUCUCUUGGCUUUCGCAUCGAUGAAGAACGCAGCGAACGUGCGAAACGUAAUGUGAAUUGCAGAAUUCAGUGAAUCAUCGAAUCUUUGAACGCAUCUUGCGCUCCUUGGUAUUCCGAGGAGCAUGCCUGUUUGAGUGUCGUGAAUAAGCUCAAUUUCAAUCUUUUUCGGUUUGAAAUUGGAUUUGGGUGUUGUCGUGUGUGAAUACGACUCGUCCUAAAUGCAUUAGCGAUCUGCCCCGAUCACACGCAAUGUGAUAAGAAAAAGCAUUGUCAUGAUUGGAGUUCGGAUAAGCUUCUAAUCGUCGAAAGACAAAGUAUUUUAUACCAUGUCAUUUGACCUCAAAUCAGGUAGGACUACCCGCUGAACUUAAGCAUAUCAAUAAGCGGAGGAAAAGAAACUAACAAGGAUUCCCCUAGUAACGGCGAGUGAAGAGGGAAAAGCUCAAAUUUGAAAUCUGGCGGCCUACGGUCGUCCGAGUUGUAAUCUAGAGAAGUGUUUUCCGCGCUGGACCGUGUACAAGUCCUUUGGAACAAGGCGUCAUAGAGGGUGAGAAUCCCGUCUACGACACGGACUACCAGUGCUUUGUGAUACACUCUCAACGAGUCGAGUUGUUUGGGAAUGCAGCUCAAAAUGGGUGGUAAAUUCCAUCUAAAGCUAAAUACAGGCGAAAGACCGAUAGCGAACAAGUACCGUGAGGGAAAGAUGAAAAGCACUUUGGAAAGAGAGUUAAACAGUACGUGAAAUUGUUGAAAGGGAAACGCUUGAAGUCAGUCGCGUCUUCAGAAAUUCAGCCUUGCUAUUUUGCCUGGCGUACUUUUCUGUGGGACGGGCCAGCAUCAGUUUCGGUCGCCAGAAAAAGGUGGGAGGAAGGUGACACCUCCGGGUGUGUUAUAGCCUCUCAUCGUAUGUGGCGGCUGGGACUGAGGAAUGCAGCACGCCUUCAUGGCCGGGGUUCGCCCACGUAACGUGCUUAGGAUGCUGGCGUAAUGGCUUUAAGCGACCCGUCUUGAAACACGGACCAAGGAGUCUAACAUGGCUGCGAGUAUUUGGGUGGCAAAACCAUCUGCGGAAUGAAAGUGAACAGUUGGGACUUCUGUCAUGGAAGGCACCGACGCCCGGACCAGAACUACUGUGACGGAUCCGAGGUAGAGCAUGUAUGUUGGGACCCGAAAGAUGGUGAACUAUGCCUGAGUAGGGUGAAGCCAGAGGAAACUCUGGUGGAGGCUCGUAGCGAUUCUGACGUGCAAAUCGAUCGUCGAACUUGGGUAUAGGGGCGAAAGACUAAUCGAACCAUC